UAUCUCAAUGACUCCCCCCUUGUGGUCCGACGACGCACAAGGUUUGGUGUAGGGAGCCAAGGGCAAGGCACUGGCCGACGCAUGUCACUCAGGCAAUCACCCCCCGUUUUGCACCCCUGGAAGGGUUAGGGUUAGGGUUAGGGCUAGGGUUAGGGUUAGGUUAGGGGAACUAUCUCAAUGACUCCCCCCUUGCGGUCCGACGACGCACAAGGUUUGGUGUAGGGAGCCAAGGGCAAGGCACUGGCCGACGCAUGUCACUCAGGCAAUCA